GGGUUGUGAGGUUAAGCGACUAAGCGUACACGGUGGAUGCCCUGGCAGUCAGAGGCGAUGAAGGACGUGCUAAUCUGCGAUAAGCGUCGGUAAGGUGAUAUGAACCGUUAUAACCGGCGAUUUCCGAAUGGGGAAACCCAGUGUGUUUCGACACACUAUCAUUAACUGAAUCCAUAGGUUAAUGAGGCGAACCGGGGGAACUGAAACAUCUAAGUACCCCGAGGAAAAGAAAUCAACCGAGAUUCCCCCAGUAGCGGCGAGCGAACGGGGAGGAGCCCAGAGCCUGAAUCAGUGUGUGUGUUAGUGGAAGCGUCUGGAAAGGCGCGCGAUACAGGGUGACAGCCCCGUACACAAAAAUGCACAUGCUGUGAGCUCGAUGAGUAGGGCGGGACACGUGGUAUCCUGUCUGAAUAUGGGGGGACCAUCCUCCAAGGCUAAAUACUCCUGACUGACCGAUAGUGAACCAGUACCGUGAGGGAAAGGCGAAAAGAACCCCGGCGAGGGGAGUGAAAAAGAACCUGAAACCGUGUACGUACAAGCAGUGGGAGCACGCUU
rnacentral:rRNA from 1 species